AACAGAUGCAGAACCUAGCGGCGGAGAAACAACGGCCCAUGCCAAAAACGACGCUAGUUGAGAAGAUCCCGGCAAAGAUCAUUGGCGGUCUGGUAGGUACCGCUAAACCUUCCUGAAUAUCGGCCGUGUAGUCCGAACCGCCUCGAAUUUGGUGUAUAUAUCUUCAUACUAACCCUCCUGAUUUCACUUAACCUCUUGGCGCGAACGAAAGCACGAGCAGAGGCGCGAAGAGCACCCAACCUCCCUCUGGCGCAACCUACCCGCGAGUACACCCAGAAACUUCUGCCAGAAACCCGUCACUUCAUUUUGGUAGCGCGCCAAACACGAGCGGGAGCAGAGCCGCGUACCAUCUGCUCCACUCGGCGCUUUCGUCUUCGCCGUCGAAUCGCGCAGCGGCCAACCGUGGUUCCAUCACCAGCGACGAAGUUGAGCAUCUCACUGGCGGUGCGUGAAAUCCCGACACCGUCCUCUCCAGUGCGCGAAUCCUAGCUAUCGCUACCUCCCACUUUCACCGGUUUGUUCUUCCACAUUGAGCUUUUCUUGUGGUUUUCAUUAUUGGUUCAGAGUUCUAAACAUGAAUUUGGGUAUAUCUUCUAUAAAUUGUGGCUAAUUGAAGCGAUUUCGAGUUAGGGAUUUGAUUCAGUACGAUUAAUUAGCAGAUUGCAAGUUUAUCUUCCAAAAGAUAACAAAUAUUAUAGUAUAAUACCU